AUGGCCGACGCGGAUCAAAGUGUAGUAUCUGUUCUCAUCAGCUUAAUAUAUGAUACGGGUUUUAUUUGGACCCAAGUUAUGAAACUUGCUUUUUGCAAGUUGGCGGAAUGCUUGGAGCCUGCUUCACCUCCGCCGCCGGUAUUGCUCUGUCCCCGUAUUGCACUAUCUCCGGGAUCGGCCCGCUGUUU